rnacentral:rRNA from 1 species
UACGUAGGGGUCAAGCGUUGUCCGGAUUCAUUGGGCGUAAAGAGCGUGUAGGCGGCCAGGUAGGUCGGUUGUGAAAACUGGAGGCUCAACCUUCAGACGUCGACCGAAACCAUCUGGCUAGAGUCCGGGAGAGGAGAGUGGAAUUCCUGGUGUAGCGGUGAAAUGCGCAGAUAUCAGGAAGAACACCCGUGGCGAAAGCGGCUCUCUGGAACGGUACUGACGCUGAGACGCGAAAGCGUGGGGAGCGAACAGG